UACAGAGGGUGCGAGCGUUAAUCGGAAUUACUGGGCGUAAAGCGUGCGUAGACGGUCAAGUAAGUCGGGUGUGAAAGCCCCGGGCUCAACCUGGGAAUUGCAUUCGAGACUGCGUGGCUAGGGUGCGGAAGAGGGAAGCGGAAUUUCCGGUGUAGCGGUGAAAUGCGUAGAUAUCGGAAGGAACACCAGUGGCGAAAGCGGCUUCCUGGUCCAGCAC
rnacentral:rRNA from 1 species